UUGAGUUGCACAUCAGUUCUGAUCUUUAUUCUGUGUAGACUAAAUCUUAUUUUUUAAACGUUUCAUUCAUCUUUUGUAAAGGAGCUAAUGUGAUGAAGACUCUUCUUAGCAUAUGUGUACAUUUAAUGAUGUUAGCAGCUGCUUGUCUUGGUGAAACUGUUCUCCAGACACCAGAUGAUCUACUGAAGAAACCAGAUGAAUCUGCUGUGAUCAGUUGUACCCACAACAUACAGUACUACGACCGAAUACUAUGGUACAAACAAAGCCAUAAUGUGUCGGGCUUUGAGUUGAUGGGAUACCUUUUUAAUAAGGAUGAUACUAAAGAGCCUGGAUUUGAAAAAAAGAUCGAAUUGAAGGGAGAUGGACAGAAAAUGGGCACUCUGAAUAUCAGCAACCUCACACCGACUGACAGCGCAGUGUAUUUCUGUGCAGCAUAUUACACAGUGCUCAGAAUCACCUCUAGCUAA